rnacentral:rRNA from 1 species
GAUGAACGCUGGCGGCGUGCCUAAUACAUGCAAGUCGAGCGAACAGACGAGGAGCUUGCUCCUUUGACGUUAGCGGCGGACGGGUGAGUAACACGUGGGUAACCUACCUAUAAGACUGGGAUAACUUCGGGAAACCGGAGCUAAUACCGGAUAAUAUUUCGAACCGCAUGGUUCGAUAGUGAAAGAUGGCUUUGCUAUCACUUAUAGAUGGACCUGCGCCGUAUUAGCUAGUUGGUAAGGUAACGGCUUACCAAGGCAACGAUACGUAGCCGACCUGAGAGGGUGAUCGGCCACACUGGAACUGAGACACGGUCGAGACUCCUACGGGAGGCAGCAGUAGGGAAUCUUCCGCAAUGGGCGAAAGCCUGACGGAGCAACGCCGAGUGAGUGAUGAAGGUCUUCGGAUCGUAAAACUCUGUUAUGAGGGAAGAACAAACGUGUAAGUAACUGUGCACGUCUGGACGGUACCUAAGCAGAAAGCCACGGCUAACUACGUG